UCAGUUCGGACUGCAGUCUGCAACUCGACUGCACGAAGCUGGAAUCGCUAGUAAUCGCAGAUCAGAAUGCUGCGGUGAAUACGUUCCCGGGUCUUGUACACACCGCCCGUCACACCAUGGGAGUCGGGAAUGCCCGAAGUCAGUGACCCAACCGCAAGGAGGGAGCUGCCGAAGGCAGGCUCGAUAACUGGGGUGAAGUCGUAACAAGGUAAC
rnacentral:rRNA from 1 species